CCACAUUCUAUGAAAAAAAGAAAAAAGUGAAAAUCUCUUUUUUAAAGAUCGUGAUAAAGAGAAUAUUUUUUUCUUCCAAACACAUUAAAUUUCAUUGGGCAUAUUACUAAUUGUGCACAUACAUACUAUAUAAACUGACUCAUAUCCUCAUGUUGAAUUGUCCUCUGUUGUUUGAAAAUUACGAACCGGGUAAGCAGCUGCUAUUUUUAAUUCCGAACUCUUAACGAUUACUCAGAAUCAACUGCGAAAUGUAAUAUUAGAUCUAGAUUUCUAGAAAGACACGCUUAAUAAUAUACGUUAAAAAUUGGUGCAAGGAUGCCCGAGGAAAUAAUAUUGUCAUAUUUCUAGCUACCGACUGUUCUAUCUUUAAACUGAACAAGUAACAACAAUAUGUUGCAGACGAAUAAUUCCAUCGAACUCUGACGAGCGAAGAAUAACCGUGUGAACGUUAUCUAAAUUUCAUAGCAGUUUGUAUGCAUCCUGUGAACGAUUCCCAGAUGAGUAUUAUCGCGUUAAAUGACUGGUGGUGAAACAUAUGAUAAGAUUCCGAGAUGCGAAGUUUGGAUGAAGUCUCCGUUUUCUAGGAUGUGUACUGUGUGAAUCAUUCGGCUCUCGUAGGCGUAUCCCGUGCCUCGUACAGUACACAGACACAGACCGUACAGAUAAGCCCCUCGAUCUAUUGUAAACACUGUUUAACUCGUUUCGAUAACAAUGCACCCAUUCUAAGGAAAUGAAUUUCCGCGAUCGACACCCGUGAAAGAGAUCUUAUCGACGAGCCUUUUUCAGACUUUUGAUUUAUAAACAAUUUCGAUCAGAUAAUAUCGUAUAUAAUUUAUAAAAAUCUAUUUGGUCCAUCUUAUCAUAGUUUUUCUCUGUAUGCUCGUUCGAUUAAAUUAUUAAAUUAUUUCCUACGAUUACGGAUAAUCGAUCAGAUUGAACGAAUUGAUUAGGUUUAAUUAGCACUGAAAUCGAAACUUCAUGGUUCGUUGGCAGCCUUUAAAAUUUUUUCUUCUUCUUUUUCUUCUUAAUUAUUCUUAUCGAUCACAAGUUGAUUCGAUUUCGAUUAUAAUUUUUUUCAUCUAAUAGUUCGUUUUUCAUAUGAUAUAUUGAUACGCCCGAGAGAAAUAAAAGGAUACAUAUGAUGAACCGGUCAAUGGUGUUGGAUUAAUAAAUAGAGGUCAAUUCGACUCAAACCCACUCGAGUUUCUCAUUAACGUUAAGUGUAUUAAAGCAGUGACUUCAUCCUGUGCGCAUGUUAGUCUCAUCAUUCUGAACAAAUGCCUAAACAACCAGACCAGAUCCACUGAUGAAAGAAUGGCUCGUUGGAUCAGGGACAAUUUCGUCUGGCUUUAAAUUUAUUUAAAUUUUUAAAUUGAAACGAUGCAGAAGACAGAUGAUAAUGAUAAAAUGAAAUAGAAAAAAAGAAUAAUAUAUUCUUGCAAUCGUCAUUUUUGAUGCGAUCUCUCUGUAUAUUUCCCUCUACUAAUUGGAACGAGAAAAAUAGAGUGAAAUUAAAUUCCCGGGAAGGCGAGUGUAGUAUCCCUUUGCUUAUUAAUUCAUUCUUCGGUUCAAUGAUCCGUGACGAGACCUGUCCAGUCCUCGUACAUUAUCUGUUGCAUAAUACAAACAGCUUACGAGCAAAAACAUCAAAUUCUUGGACGAUAUAUCACUCUAAUAAAUCGUUGCAAUUCAAUUUAUCCCAGCUAAUUUGCAACGGAGUCAAUGAACAACUGAACGUUUACGAAGAAUGUUCUAUUGACUCCUGAACAAUAUUAAAAAAUAGAAAGCGGAUUGCGAUGUGGAGAAAUCGAAGUAGUUUCCGCUUUAAAUCUUUUUAUCAUUGUACCAUUGAUUCGUCUCGUUUCACAUAUUCUUCACCGACAAAGAUAAAUAAAUUGAAAAUCAGAGAAACGGGGCACGAAAGAGAGCGGUGGCCGAGAAAUAUAGAAACCGGUACAGCGCAUGCGUUGUUUUAUUGACGUUUGUCCAUUCGAAGGGUGGCUCGAUACGAACAUCGGAACAAAACACAAAGAUCAAAUUUUCAUGAGACACCCCUCUCCCCCCCCCUCCCUUACGAUUCGAUCGAUGCACGAUUUCUCGCUAUUACGAUCGCGUUACUGACCCCUUACUCGCCUCCUAGGGAACUGGAUUUCGGCUGUCCCUACGCAUUCUUCUCGUGCCACGUCAAUCCGCCAUUUUUACACUGCUCACCAUUUAAAUCUGGAAAUGGAAAUUUCUAGCUUUUUACAAAAUAAACGUUUCAAUUGCGAAUAUUAAAAAUAUGAAAUACACGUUUGAAAAUAUUUCUUUAGCGACAACUAAUUAACAAUUCCGCCGCGUUUGACGCACAGUUGUCAAGAAUAGGAUAGGAGAAAUCUCGAGAAUGAGUGUGCAGUUUGAAAAGAGGGCCAGAGAAAAAUAAAAAGGAAAGGGAGUUACGUGGCUUACGGGGCGAGAAAGUCUUUCGAGAGGUGAAAAGAAGGCUACCACCGUUUCGCGUUCAAAGGCAACUAUCGGAGCCACGACCUUGGCUCCCAAGAAGAAGAGAUGCGUUUCGUUCGUGGAACAACGCUACUCCUCUCGUGACAAAUUGGAUUACGAACAAUGCGCCGGAUACGCACGCACGGAUGCGUUUAUUCUUUCCGGCUUGAUGCAUGCAUAUGAAAGCGGCACCGAUGCCGAAUGAGACACGUGCGAGUGCACGUGCCCGAUCUCUGCGAACCUCGGCCACUGACCUCUCGACUUCUCAUCAACGUUCAGACUUUCGAUAUUUUGACCAACCUAAAAUUGUGCUCAUCUUUGUUCAGUUCAGAAACAUCGAUUCUAAAGAGAGAUCGACUUUUAAUUUGGAUCGAGAAAAAAAUAUUCAAAUGGGGGAGCCACUUUGAUGACUCCUCUGAUGAAAAUGGAAUUUAAACGACUGAUGUACGGCCGAUAUAUUUCGUUUAGAUGAUUUUUAAUUUAUUUAUGACGAAUAUAUUAAAAGCUGGCUGCGUUGAAUAAAUAAUCCUUGUGAUGCGUGAAAUCUAAGACAAUAAUCAAAAGACGAGUUUCGGAAAAUAUUUGCUUCGUAAUUAAUGAGGCAAAAAUUAUCGGAAGGAUGAGUCAUCUCAAUCGUUACGUAACACUCGAUUCGUGGACUCGAGUUCGUGUUCAAUUCCGAUUUUGCAGUUAAAAGUAAAAUAAGGGUAAGACAUAGUAAACCUCUUCGUGACAAUAUCUAUUUGGAGAAGUUGCGGUUACAACGUGUUGGAACCGAGUCUACCGUGUAAUUGUGUAAUACAUAUAUCAGCAAGAAUAAAGUUUAACUAUCCAAUUCGCUACAUGCAUAAAAUCCUAUUAUGAUGUCAUAUAGAAUUACACGAAAAGAUAAUUUUAUGACAAACGUAUAUAAACGUUAAAUUUUAAAAUAAAAUAUUGAAGAAAUCUGAAGGAAGGGAUUUAUUUUCCCCGUUCAUAGAUUUCAAUGGCAACGAGAAGAAGAAAAAAAGUUUCAGGUAGGCGCUUGUCCAAACAGGUACACGAAAGAACUAUGCGUGGGUCGUCAGUUUGACCUCCCCUAUUGGGUUUAUUUUCUUUUCUACUACGAUCGGUCUGAUGAAAGGCAGCAGGAUGUCUAGACGAAUUUCGAGAAAGGCGUGACUUCAAAGAAAUUUAUGCACAAGCGGUGGAGUUGAAACGAGUUUAAGAGCCCCACCGUGUUAUUCUACACCGAAGAAGAUACAAUUUUGCGCUUCGUUGAGUUUCACCUGCACGGACUGCGUUACGUGGCGGAAUAUAUUCGGACGGACACCUGCAUUGCGGAUAAUACCAUGGAUUUUUCACGGGGAAUGUUUCAGGAAUCUCUGAAAUCUUUUGAACGAUCAGGUAUUUCAAUUCAUUUUCACGAUACUUCGAGUUUUCUCGGAAUUAUCUCUUACCUUUUUUUUUUGUUUUAAUCAUUAUUAUUUUUUUUUUGUCAUCUAAUCGAUAUGAGAAUCCACAGUGCUAUAUCUAUGCGUUAUAAGCAGUAAUUGUGUAAUUCAUUAUGAUCGAUGAAAAUGAUUCGCGAAGAAGCAAAAAAAAAAAGAAAAAAGAAAAAAAAAGAAAAGAAAAGACGAUGGAAAAAAUUAUGAAAAUGUUUUGUUACAUAGAAUU